rnacentral:rRNA from 1 species
AAUAUUGGACAAUGGGCGCAAGCCUGAUCCAGCCAUGCCGCGUGAGUGAUGAAGGCCUUAGGGUUGUAAAGCUCUUUCAGUAGGGAAGAUAAUGACGGUACCUACAGAAGAAGCCCCGGCUAACUUCGUGCCAGCAGCCGCGGUAAUACGAAGGGGGCUAGCGUUGUACGGAUUUACUGGGCGUAAAGCGCACGUAGGCGGAUUGGUCAGUUAGGGGUGAAAUCCUGGAGCUCAACUCCAGAACUGCCCUUAAUACUGCCAGUCUAGAGUCCGGAAGAGGUAAGUGGAACUCCUAGUGUAGAGGUGGAAUUCGUAGAUAUUAGGAAGAACACCAGUGGCGAAGGCGGCUUACUGGACCGGCACUGACGCUGAGGUGCGAAAGCGUGGGGAGCAAACAGG